UACAGAGACUGCAAGCGUUAUUCGGAUUCACUGGGCGUAAAGGGUGCGCAGGCGGCCCGAGUGUGUGAGGCGUGAAAGCCCGGGGCUUAACCCCGGAAUUGCACCUCAAACUACACGGCUAGAGCAUUGGAGAGGUAGCAGAAUUCAUGGUGUAGCAGUGAAAUGCGUAGAUAUCAUGAGGAAUACCAGAGGCGAAGGCGGCUACCUGGCCUGUUCUUGACGCUGAGGCGCGAAAGCUAGGGGAGCAAACGGG
rnacentral:rRNA from 1 species